rnacentral:tRNA from 1 species
GCCUUCGUGGUGUAGUGGUCUGCAUGUUCGACGCGUAACCGAGAGGUCCGUGGUUCGAUUCCCGGCGAAAGCA